GGUCAGGAACCAUGCGGGCAGCCGCCGCCCAACUCCGCCAGGUCCGGAAGGAAGCAACGGCAAGCGGUGGGCGCCGCGACAUGGUAUUUCUGGCCGCG
rnacentral:SRP_RNA from 1 species